rnacentral:rRNA from 1 species
AAAGAUUAAGCCAUGCAUGUCUAAGUAUAAGCAAUUUGUACCGUGAAACUGCGAAUGGCUCAUUAAAUCAGUUAUCGUUUAUUCGAUAGUACCUUACUACAUGGAUACCUGUGGUAAUUCUAGAGCUAAUACAUGCUAAAAACCUCGACUUCGGAAGGGGUGUAUUUAUUAGAUAAAAAACCAAUGCCCUUCGGGGCUCCUUGGUGAAUCAUAAUAACUUAGCGAAUCGCAUGGCCUUGCGCCGGCGAUGGUUCAUUCAAAUUUCUGCCCUAUCAACUUUCGAUGGUAGGAUAGUGGCCUACCAUGGUGGCAACGGGUAACGGGGAAU